UUUGGACUAAAUUUAGUACCAUGUUUGUUUCAUCUAAUCCUAGUUUUAGAGGGAAUUGCUAAUACCGGUCCCACCAAAAACAUCUCCUUAGGAGGGGACUACUAAACUUAAGAUUGGGCAUUCAAACUGGUAAUUCGGUCAAACCGCCCAAACCAAACCGAUGGUUUGGGUUGGUUUGGUAUUUUUUCAAUAUUUUUUUGGUCAUUGGUUUGAACCCAAACUAAACCGAAAUAUAUGGUUCGAUGUACGAUUUACAAUAUUCAAAAUUACAGUUUAACCAAACCAG
rnacentral:lncRNA from 1 species